UACUUUCACUUUCUAUUUCUCCGCCUGCUUCUGGGAAACAGUCAGAAAAGGGACAGAGCGAAUUAGCGGCAGACAGAGGGACUCCUCCUCGGGCAGCGGGAAACGAUACUCCGGAUGCUGCUCAGCCAGGAAUGAGGAGCACAAUGAGCGGGGAGGGAGCGCGUUACGUUUCUGUUCUAAGGAAUAGGGAAUGAGGCAUUGGCCGCCAGUGCUGCUGUAGUACAUACAUUAUAUACAGUAUAUGUCACUGUGUGGCCGGCUGCAGGAAUUCUCCGCAUUGCUCUAAAGAGAAUCCCAGGGGUUUGCUCAGAAUCUCCUGCUCUUACAAAGAAGCCGCUGUUUCAUUAACUACAUCUGGAAUUCCAAUAAGAAAGUCAGCUCUGUACUGUGUUCUGGGUUGAGUUUGUGUGAUCUGAUUUUACUUCAUCAUAUUUUACAUAUUUCUGUAUGUGUAAACCACAUUAUUUUUUGAAACAUUUUAUUCAGGGAAUCCAACUCUUUGUGACGUGCCACCGCAAUGUUCGGCUAUGCGAUUCUUGGAAGGACAGAGGAGCUCACACGUCUGUAGUGCUGCGAACCAAACCUUAGGCAGGCACGUUGCGGCCAACGCUUAGAAUUUAAUCUUGUUAAUAGAACGUCCGUGAGGCUCCUGAAAAUUGUGUGGCACUCCCGACCCAGAUGAAUACUUACCAACGAGCAGGAAACCUCUGACAAAGAACAGGAAACCUCUGACAAUGAACAUGAAAUCCUUGGCAAUGACCAGGAUACCCCUGGCAAUGAGUAGGAGACCCCUGGCAAUGAGCAUGAAACCCCUGGUAACGAGCAUGAAACCCCUGGCAACGAGCAUGACAUGAGACCGCUGGCAAUGAGCAUGGAUCCCAAAGCAUGAAACCCCUGAUAAUGAGCAUGAAGCCCCUGACAAUGAGCAUGAGACCCCUCCUACCAGACUAGGAAAAUGUACCCGAGGAGAUGGACAUACUUUGAGAGAAGGAUACAGAAAAGGAAAGUGGUGAGAUUUUGAACCAGCACAACCGCAACAAGAGGAAAACCAUGCUAACCAAAACUUGUAAACAGUAACAGCAACAGCUGAACCAAUCAACAGUACUUAGCCAAGAAACAGUGCAGGAAAAACGAAGUACCGGGCGGGCGUUCAGUAUCCCCUAUGGACUACGAGAAAAGGA